rnacentral:rRNA from 1 species
AUACGUAGGAUCCGAGCGUUGUCCGGAUUUACUGGGCGUAAAGGGCGAGUAGGCGGCUCGUUAAGUCUCAUGUGAAAUCUCCCGGCUCAACUGGGAGGGGUCAUGGGAAACUGACAAGCUUGAGGGCAGCAGAGGGAAGCGGAAUUCCCGGAGUAGUGGUGAAAUGCGUAGAUACCGGGAGGAACACCAGUGGCGAAGGCGGCUUCCUGGGCUGUUCCUGACGCUGAGGCGCGAAAGCGUGGGGAGCAAACCGGAUUAGAUACCCGAGUAGUCC